CGCCAACUUCGACCCCGAACACCCGAUCUACCGGCACCUCGCCGACCUGUCCGCCCUGCGGGACGAGCACCCGGCGCUGGCCGACGGCGCGCAGAUCCACCGGUACGCCAGCAGCGGCGCGGGUGUGUACGCCUUCAG
rnacentral:misc_RNA from 1 species